GCGUAAAGAGCUUGUAGGCGGUUUGUCGCGUCUGCUGUGAAAGCCCGGGGCUUAACCCUGGGUCUGCAGUGGGUACGGGCAGGCUAGAGUGUGGUAGGGGAGACUGGAACUCCUGGUGUAGCGGUGGAAUGCGCAGAUAUCAGGAGGAACACCGAUGGCGAAGGCAGGUCUCUGGGCCAUUACUGACGCUGAGAAGCGAAAGCGUGGGGAGCGAACAGGAUUAGAUACCCUGGUAGUCCACGCCGUAAACGUUGGGCGCUAGGUGUGGGUCCCAUUCCACGGGGUCCGUGCCGCAGCUAACGCAUUAAGCGCCCCGCCUGGGGAGUACGGCCGCAAGGCUAAAACUCAAAGGAAUUGACGGGGGCCCGCACAAGCGGCGGAGCAUGCGGAUUAAUUCGAUGCAACGCGAAGAACCUUACCAAGGCUUGACAUACACCGGAAACUUCCAGAGAUGGGAGCCCCCUUUGUGGCUGGUGUACAGGUGGUGCAUGGUUGUCGUCAGCUCGUGUCGUGAGAUGUUGGGUUAAGUCCCGCAACGAGCGCAACCCUCGUUCUAUGUUGCCAGCGGUUCGGCCGGGGACUCAUAGGAGACUGCCGGGGUCAACUCGGAGGAAGGUGGGGAUGACGUCAAAUCAUCAUGCCCCUUACGUCUUGGGCUUCACGCAUGCUACAAUGGCCGGUACAAAGGGCUGCGAUCCCGUGAGGGGGA
rnacentral:rRNA from 1 species